rnacentral:rRNA from 1 species
UACGAAGGGGGGCUAGCGUUGCUCGGAAUGACUGGGCGUAAAGGGCGCGUAGGCGGCUCAUACAGUCAGAUGUGAAAUUCCUGGGCUUAACCUGGGGGGCUGCAUUUGAUACGUGUGGGCUUGAGUGGGGAAGAGGGUCGUGGAAUUCCCAGUGUAGAGGUGAAAUUCGUAGAUAUUGGGAAGAACACCGGUGGCGAAGGCGGCGACCUGGUCCUUGACUGACGCUGAGGCGCGAAAAGCGUGGGGAGCAAACAGG